AUUCGGCACGCCAGUAAAUUAGAUGGAAGAACGGGAUAGCCCCAUUGCAUGCAGGGAAUUGCAGUCCAUUUAGCGGCUGGUUCAUAGAUGGGCGGGGAAGAGCCGGGUUGCUCUAGUCCUUUGAGAAUGAUUCAUAGAGGAGGGUCAGGAAAGAAGAACGGUUCAGUCUGUGAAAGCCCCCUUAAAAGACUGGACAGUUCUCCGAGGGAGGGAGAGGCAGGAGAGCAAGCAGGGCCUUGGGCCUGACUCCGCCUCGGUCCGCUAGCCAGGCCUCGACCGAGUCCUGGGCCUUGUCGGGGGCGGCCGUGAGGCGCCGGUUGCUGGGGGAGCGGUGACGUCGCGGGGUGAAAGUUGAGGGGCGGUGACGUCGGGCCGGCCCGGGCGGAGGCUGGCGGGUUGGAGGCAGGACGGAGGGAGGGAAAGAGGGAAGGAAGGAAGCUGGGAAGGAGCGAGCGGGGGCGCGAGGCGUUUACCUGGAGGCAGCGGCUUGGGCGCGCAGAGCGGCCGCGGCUCCCCCGCACCUGCGGCCAUGGAUGAGGAGCGCGCCCUCUACAUCGUCCGGGCCGGCGAAGCAGGGGCUAUCGAGCGGGUCCUGAGGGAUUACAGCGACAAGCAUAGGGCUACUUUCAAAUUUGAAUCAACAGAUGAAGAUAAAAGAAAGAAACUCUGUGAAGGCAUAUUUAAAGUCCUUAUAAAGGACAUCCCAACAACAUGUCAAGUGUCCUGCCUGGAAGUACUCCGCAUUCUCUCCAGAGACAAAAAGGUUUUAGUUCCUGUAACAACUAAGGAAAAUAUGCAGAUACUGCUGCGACUAGCCAAGCUAAAUGAGUUAGAUGAUUCUUUGGAGAAAGUAUCAGAGUUCCCAGUUAUUGUGGAGUCAUUAAAAUGUCUGUGUAAUAUAGUGUUCAACAGUCAGAUGGCACAGCAGCUCAGCCUGGAACUUAAUCUUGCUGCAAAGCUCUGUAACCUCCUGAGAAAGUGCAAGGACCGGAAAUUUAUCAAUGACAUUAAGUGCUUUGACUUGCGCUUGCUCUUCCUUCUGUCACUUUUGCACACCGACAUCAGGUCACAAUUGCGCUAUGAGCUCCAGGGACUACCGCUGCUAACGCAGAUCUUGGAAAGUGCCUUUAGCAUCAAGUGGACCGAUGAGUAUGAAUCGGCCGUAGACCAUAAUGGACCUCCUCUCUCACCUCAGGAGACAGACUGUGCCAUUGAGGCCCUCAAAGCUCUCUUCAAUGUGACGGUAGACAGUUGGAAGGUGCAUAAAGAGAGUGAUUCUCAUCAGUUCCGUGUAAUGGCAGCUGUCCUUCGUCAUUGUUUACUAAUCGUAGGUCCAACUGAAGACAAAACAGAAGAGCUACACAGCAAUGCAGUCAACCUUUUAAGCAAUGUUCCGGUCUCUUGUUUGGAUGUUCUCAUUUGUCCGUUAACCCAUGAAGAAACAGCCCAAGAGGCAACGACUCUAGAUGAACUGCCCAGUAAUAAAACAGCUGAGAAAGAAACAGUUUUGAAAAACAAUACCAUGGUAUACAAUGGUAUGAAUAUGGAGGCCAUUCAUGUUUUACUUAAUUUUAUGGAGAAGAGAAUAGACAAGGGAAGCAGCUAUAGAGAGGGUCUAACUCCAGUUCUCAGCUUAUUAACCGAAUGUUCCCGAGCCCAUCGAAACAUCCGAAAAUUUCUCAAAGAUCAGGUUUUACCACCGUUGAGGGAUGUGACAAAUCGACCUGAAGUUGGCUCAACUGUGAGAAAUAAGCUGGUGCGCCUCAUGACACAUGUUGACCUUGGAGUCAAGCAAAUUGCUGCUGAAUUCCUUUUUGUCCUUUGCAAAGAGAGAGUGGAUAGUCUGCUGAAAUACACUGGCUAUGGGAAUGCUGCAGGACUGUUGGCGGCCAGGGGCCUCUUGGCUGGAGGAAGAGGAGAUAAUUGGUACUCAGAGGAUGAGGACACAGACACUGAAGAAUACAAAAAUGCAAAACCAAACAUUAAUCUUAUCACUGGUCAUUUAGAGGAACCAAUGCCAAACCCCAUAGAUGAAAUGACAGAAGAACAAAAAGAAUAUGAAGCCAUGAAACUUGUCAACAUGCUUGAUAAACUUUCCAGGGGAAUCCACAUAUUCUAGAAGCUGCCAACAAAUAAAUAUACAAACGUCAAGUCUGAAAUACCCCAGCUUCCACCUGAUUUAAACUAUGCCUCAAAGAAGAUGCCUACUUAUCCGGAAGUACCCAGCAGAUGCCCAACUGAAGGAGAGCAGAUGUGAAGGACCUGCACCAGGAUGGUGGUUAGCAACAGUGGCCCGUGCCAAAGCACUUACCAAAGUGAUGAUGACUAAGACCCUGUCAUUAAUUCCAUGUGUCAAUACUGCCCUGUAGUACACAGAGCAGACAAGAAAGAAGAGCCCUUGAAAACAAGGGAAUGAUUUUUGAGUCGUUAUCAAGCUAAGUGGCAAGCGGGAAGCUGAAACUCGUAUAGUUGAACAUUCUUGGAGGCUUAUCUCUUCCCUGGCCAGAUGCCUGAUCAGAUGAGAAGCCCGCCAUGAUACUGUCACAGUGCCUAGAAUGGGCUCUUUAUCCAGUAGACACCACUGUACUUUUUGAUACGAGGGCAGUCUUAACUUGUGUUAAGGCCUGUGUGUAGCAUUGAAGAGAGGAGUUGCUUAAACCAAUGGGACUAAAACCUGAUGGGACAAUAACGCCUUUGGAGGAAGCACUCAACCAGUACUCUGUCAUCGAAGAGACCAGCUCUGACACAGACUAAAAGCAUCACCUGCUCAACUCUCAAUAUUGCUUUAUCAGCAUCUUUUCUCUGUAGCUCCAGGGGAAUCUUUUCUCUAAAACAUUUAUGCCCUUGCUUUGGCUAGAAACACAUUAACUGGUUUACUCAUUGAGAAUCCAGCAUAUUUAAGAGGUGACCCUGUGUUUUUUGUGAUAUUGAGGCAUUCAUACAGAGCUGCAGUUAGACGGGGUUACGGGGGCUAAAAGCAGAAAAAAAUUCCAUUUCAUCGGGAUGGAACUGAAGGAUUUUAUUCUAUAAAGCGGCCCUGGUUGAAUCUGGCAAUUCUUUUUGCCAAGAUUCCUAGCAGACGAUUUAGCCAUGUCCUUCCCCUCACUUGUGUGAGCGGCCCCUUCUAAAUCUCUCCAGCAGCCAGAGGCACGUGAGAAGCAGAAAGAGCUGGUAAAUAAAGCCUUGGGCAAGCGACUUCUUAGAUCAGAACUCACCAAAUGGAAGCCUAGCAGCUGCUCCAUAAACCUAGCCCCAUUCUUCAUAUCAAUUUUGUAUAAAUAUAUAGAAACACACACACAGCCUCAGACUUACAAACUGAUUAUACUCUAAAAGUUUGUACGUCAGUUAGCUAAAACUUCAGAAUACAUUUCUCCCUAUAAAGAGUUAUAAAUGAUGGUUUAGUUCUCAGGCAGCUACAAAUGCCUAUUUAUUCCCUAAUGUACCUGAACACUAGUACCAUAGAACUGAACCACCAUCUGUAUCAGCGCAUGGGGAGUGUGCAUUCUGAGGUCUAACCCGGGGUGCCAGGAACACACACAUCCUCCAUCCCAGCAUAGAGAAUGGGGACUCCCUGAGUAAUGGGAGUUCUUUCGUGGCCUCUGCUUGGGGUGGGGGAGUCAGCAGCACCCAUUUGUACAUAUAGGUCAUUCAUACAUCACAUUUUAAAUUGGGGACUGUGUGUGCUGGUGUGUGUGUGAGUUCUACGUUUCUACCAUAUGUGAUCAGUUUAAUAGUAACUUUAUUUAUUUAAAAAAAAGAAACACAAUUAGUUACUGUUAAACUGAUAAAGGGUGUUUAUUUUUACUUUUAGAAUUGGUCCUAUGAAGAAGUAGAAAGUGAGUCAUGCACUAGACAGUGGGCCUAGCUCAUCAGUGGCUAAAGUUGAAAAGGGGUUGGUUUCCUGUAUAUAUAUGUAUGUAUAUACACACGUACAUACAUUCAUAUAUAUACAUAUAUACAUAAUGUGCUUAACCACUGCCUUUUAAAACUUUAAAUUAAAUAAAACAUUGGGGUUGAUUCAA